UACAGAGGGUGCGAGCGUUGUUCGGAAUUACUGGGCGUAAAGCGCGCGCAGGCGGUCCUUUAAGUCUACCCGUGAAAUCCCAUGGCUCAACCAUGGAAGUGCACCCGAAACUGCAUAGCUAGAGUCCUGGAGAGGAAGGUGGAAUGCUUGGUGUAGAGGUGAAAUUCGUAGAUAUCAAGCGGAACACCGGUGGCGAAGGCGGCCUUCUGGACAGUGACUGACGCUGAGACGCGAAAGCGUGGGGAGCAAACAGG
rnacentral:rRNA from 1 species